AACGCAUAUGGCACCUGCCAGUUCUACUGGGAGGUAUGCCUGUUUGAGAAUCGUCUUUCUGAUCCCCUUUGGUUCUCCAUCGGGGGACAUGGGCCUUCACCAGUGAUUGCCUGGAAUGCGGCGUGGUUGUGUCGUGAUAAGACUGAUCGGCCAAUCGAACUUUGUCAGCGAUCUCAAAUCAGGCAGGAUGACCCGCUGAACUUAA
rnacentral:misc_RNA from 1 species